AAGUCGUAACAAGGUUUCCGUAGGUGAACUGCGGAAGAUCAUUGUCGAAAAUUGCCAAGCAGGGCGACCCGCGGACAUGUUGAAAUAAAUCGUCGGGGGCACGGCGUCUAACGUGGCACGGCGCCCUCGACUGCCGGCCGGGCCCGCACCUUACGGCCUGCUCCAGGAGCGGCAACGGGGGUGCGGGGCAAGGCUUGGCACAAGAACGAACCCCGGCGCGGAUCGCGCCAAGGAACGGUAACAUAGCGUGCGUUGCCUUGCCGCCGGAUGCCCGGCGAGCGAGGUGACGACCGGUCGUAUCUGAACGACUCUCGGCAACGGAUAUCUCGGCUCUCGCAUCGAUGAAGAACGUAGCGAAAUGCGAUACUUGGUGUGAAUUGCAGAAUCCCGUGAACCAUCGAGUCUUUGAACGCAAGUUGCGCCCGAAGCCUCUAGGCUGAGGGCACGUCUGCCUGGGCGUCACGCAUAGCGUCGCCCCCGACCAAGCCACCGCGUCUCUGCAUGCUUGGUUGGGGCGGAGAGUGGCCUCCCGUGCGCCGUUGUGCGGUUGGCCUAAAAUCGGAGCUCGGCGACUGCGCCGCGACGUCCGGUGGUGGACAGGGCGAAGGCCAAGGUUGCAUCGCGUCGCGCUCGGCCCGUCGCCGGUGAAGCUCGCACGACCCCGCCGCGCCGUCCUUUUCGGCAGCAACG
rnacentral:rRNA from 1 species